AAAUGAGCACUGUGUGUGGGAGAUAUCGGUGGACAGGUCUAGAGUCGUACAGCUGAAGUUCCACACGUUUGACUUGGAGAGUGAUGACCUCUGUGGGUUUGAUCGUGUCACGGUACACGAGGGAACUGGAGCCUCACAUCGUCAUUUAGGUACAUUUUGCGGCAGUGACGUCCCACCCCUGCUUAGAUCAUCUGGGAACUCCCUGACUGUUUCCUUCCGGUCCAACAGUGUCGGGACGCACGGUGGGUUCUUGGCAGAGUAUACGGCUAUAGACAGAGAGAUAGCCAACUGCUCCGAAGGGCAUUUUCAGUGUGGCGGAGGGGCGUGUAUUAGGUUCCACCGGAGAUGUGAUGGAAGCCUGGACUGUCUUGACGACAGUGACGAACAAGACUGCG